rnacentral:rRNA from 1 species
AGAAUGAACGCUAGCGAUAUGCUUAACACAUGCAAGUUGAACGUUGUUUUCGAAUCAGAAUGAGAACAAAGUAGCGAACGGGUGCGUAACACGUGGGAAUCUGCCGAACAGUUUGGGCCAAAUCCCGAAUGAAUAAAAGCUAAAAAGCGCUGUUUGAUGAGCCCACGUAGUAUUAGGUAGUUGGUUAGGUAAAAGCUGACCAAGCCUACGAUGCUUAGCUGGUCUUUUCGGAUGAUCAGCCACACUGGGACUGAGACACGGCCCAGACUCCUACGGGAGGCAGCAGUGGGGAAUCUUGGACAAUGGCGAAAGCCUGAUCCGGCAAUAUGGCGUGAGUGAAGAAGGGCAACGCAGCUUGUAAAGCUCUUUCAUCGAGUGUGCGAUUGUGACAAGACUCGAAUAAGAACGCCCCGGCUAACCUCCGCGCCAGCAGCCGC